rnacentral:rRNA from 1 species
AUUGAACGCUGGCGGCAUGCCUAACACAUGCAAGUCGAACGGCAGCACGGGUCUUUGCCCUUGGUGGCGAGUGGGGCAGGGGUGUGAUAUCUAUGGGUCUAUGUGCUGUUGUGGGGGAUAGUCCGGAGACAGGCGCUUUAAUACCGUACAUGCUGUAGGGAUGAAAGGGGGGGACUUUCGGGCCACGCGCUCAAGGGUUGGUCGAUGGCAGAUUAGCUAGUUGGUGGGGUAAAGGCCUACCAAGGCGACGAUCAGUAACUGGUCUGAGAGGAAGAUCAGUCACACUGGAACUGAGACACGGCCCAGACUCCUACGGGAGGCAGCAGUGGGGAAUAUUGGACAAUGGGCGAAAGCCUGAUCCAGCAAUGCCGCGUGUGUGAAGAAGGCCUUCGGAUUGUAAAGCACUUUUAGCCGGGAGGAAGGCCUGUACGCUAAUACGGUCCUGGUAUGACGUUACCAAAAGAAUAAGCACCGGCUAACUACGUG